AGGCGAGCCUGGCCCCCAUGCCUGAGAGCCAGAUUCCAUUCCCUGGCAGCCUCACCUUGGAUCGGACAGGGAGGGAUCCUAGGACACCAGCCUCGUCUAUCCUCCCUGGGACACCCUAGAACCUCACAGCCUGUGGGAAACACCAGGGCAUGGAGGGUCAAGCCUACAAAAUCCCCCAGUAGGUGAUUAGGAUAAGGUGAGCACUGGCCCUAGCUGACUCAGGCCAGCCCCCCAAGCAGCCAGACCACGUGAGAAGUGAUGGCCACACAAUGCUCUGGGUGUCUCAAGGAAAGUCCAAGAGCAGUGGCACUCCGGGCUGCAUCCUUGGAGUAAGCACAGAGCAAGACCCCAGCAUGCUUUGCAGACCCCGCCUUAUGAGCCCUGCACCCCACUGCUCCGGGAGGGGUCAGCACCCCCAUGCCAGGGCUGGUUUUCGGGGUGGGUGCCUGGACAAUCUGAAGGACCUUUCGGCCACAAGGUGUUGAGAACUCUGCAGAGGAUGCUGGGGAUUAGCACAACAAGCUCUGCUCCUUCAGGCUGUGCGAGGCCUCAUGAAAGCUCCUAAAAAUCAGAGGAAGGGCCAUGGCAGAGCCUGGGACAAGUGGGCAGCUCACAGAGGGGACUGGGUGCUUGCCAUUAGCCCAGACUUCUCCCACUGCUCCUGCCUCAACUGCUACUGCCCGGAGUCUAAGCCCACUUUGUUGACAAGUACCCAUUCUAUAGAGAGCCUCGCCUAACUCCAGGUAGAGGCAGAAAAGUGUGUGUAGAUCAAAUGGCCCAGCUGGCAGCAGAGCCAAAAGUCAUGCUUACUUGCUGGCCAGCCUUGCACAAGGCACCAAGGGUCACCUCUGCAGGCUUCAGAUCCUGCCCUCUGUGAACAGUCAAAAAGAAGGUGUCAGAAGGAGCUAGAGGAUGCAAGGGUGGCCAAGGGGCACAGAGGAGGGUCAGGUUACACUGGGAGGGAAGAGAGGCAGCCUUUGCAUUCUCUAGGAGAAGCAGGGCGGGAGACUUUGGAGCCCAGCUCCCUGAUGGGACAUAUGGGAACCUGCGGGGACAGGAGAGUGUCUUUGAUAGGCGAGCCCAGUGCCUCUUACCUUCAGGAGGGCGCCUGAGCUGUGAAGUCUGCCCCUGUUGCUCAGAGAUAGUUCCCUCCAGCAGGAAAACCUCUUUGAGGUGAGUUACGGCUUCUGGAGGCACAAGGAUGGGCCGAGGUCACCAGGCCUUGCCUGUCCACCUUACCUACCCUGAAGUGCAUGACCUUUCUUAGGGACAGAGCCUCUCUAGUUAAUCUUAGAGCCUGGCCAGGAGCCCAGGAUGGGGCAGCAUGGGGCACAACACUUACUAGAUGGUCAGGCGAGGGGAGCAACUGGGACCCUCCCCUCCAGUUCGAGCCAUGUGUGUCAUGUAUGUGCAUGUACAUGUGUGUAUGUAAUGUGAAGUCAGAUGUGUGUAUGUGUGCAUAUGCAAGGACAUGCUAAUGUGUGUGUGCAUGUACACGUGUGAAUCUGUGCAAGCACAUACAAGUGUGCAUGGGCGUGGACAUGUAUGUGCAUGCAUGUGGAAGUAAGUGUACAGGUACAGUCUGAAUCUGUGUGUGCACACACAAGUGUGCAUGGGUGUGGGCAUGUGUGUAUGUGCAUGCAUGUGGAAGUGUGGAAGUGUACAGGUACAGUCUGAAUCUGUGUGCACACAUAAGUGUGCAUGGGUGUGGGCAUGUGUGUAUGUGCAUGCAUGUGGACGUGUGUGAGUUGCCCUAGCACAUGUUUGUACAUAUGCUUGUGUGCACCCAUGCUAGGCUGCUCUCCCUCCUGGUUCUCUUUCAGGACAGGCCAAGUG
rnacentral:lncRNA from 10 species